rnacentral:rRNA from 1 species
AAUAUUGGACAAUGGGGGCAACCCUGAUCCAGCCAUGCCGCGUGUUUGAAGAAGGUCUUCGGAUUGUAAAGCACUUUAAGUAGGGAGGAAGGGCUUUAGGUUAAUACCCUGAAGUUUUGACGUUACCAACAGAAUAAGCACCGCCUAACUCUGUGCCAGCAGCCGCGGUAAUACAGAGGUGGCAAGCUUUAAUCGGAAUUACUGUGCGUACAGCGCGCGUAGGUGGUUCAGUAAGAUGGGUGUGAAAUCCCCGGGCUUAACCUGGGAACUGCUUUCAUAACUGCUGAGCUAGAGUACGGUAGAGGGUAGUGGAAUUUCCUGUGUAGCGGUGAAAUGCGUAGAUAUAGGAAGGAACACCAGUGGCGAAGGCGACUACCUGGACUGAUACUGACACUGAGGUGCGAAAGCGUGGGGAGCAAAC